rnacentral:rRNA from 1 species
CCUACGGGUGGCAGCAGUGAGGAAUAUUGGUCAAUGGGCGCGAGCCUGAUCCAGCCAAGUAGCGUGAAGGAUGACUGCCCUCCGGGUUGUAAACUUCUUUUAUAAAGGAAUAAACUGAAGCACGUGUGCCUUUUGCUAUGUACUUUAUGAACAAGGGUAGCCUAACUCCGUGCCAGCAGCCGCGGUAAUACGGAGGAUCCGAGCGUUAGCCGGAUUUAUUGGGUUUAAAGGGAGCGUAGAUGGGUUGUUAAGUCAGUUGUGAAAGUUUGCGGCUCAACCGUAAAAUUGCAAUUGAUACUGGCAGUCUGGAGUACAGUUGAGGGAGGCAGAAUUCGUGGUGUAGCGGUGAAAUGCGUAGAGAUCACGAAGAACGCCGAUUGCGAAGGCAGCUUACUAAACUGCCACUGACAUUGAUGCGCGAAAGUGUGGGUAUCAAACAGGAUUAGAUACCCGUGUAGUC